rnacentral:rRNA from 1 species
AGAGUUUGAUCAUGGCUCAGGAUGAACGCUGGCGGCGUGCUUAAUACAUGCAAGUCGAACGGAGUAUGUAGCAAUACGUACUGAGUGGCGAACGGGUGAGUAACGCGUUGGUGACCUGUCCUAGAUCGUGGGAUAACAGUUCGAAAGGACUGCUAAUACCGCAUGAAGUUACAGGCGUUAGAGAACUGUAACGAAAGGCGAAAGUCGAUAUAGGAGGGACCUGCGUCCCAUCAGCUAGUUGGUGAGGUAAUGGCCCACCAAGGCGACGACGGGUAGGGGACCUGAGAGGGUGAUCCCCCACACUGGCACUGAAACACGGGCCAGACACCUACGGGUGGCAGCAGUAGGGAAUAUUGGUCAAUGGGCGAAAGCCUGAACCAGCAACGCCGCGUGCACGAUGAAGGCCUUCGGGUCGUAAAGUGCUUUUCUGGGAGACGAGGAAGGACGGUAUCCCAGGAAUAAGGAUCGGCUAACUACGUGCCAGCCGCUGC